rnacentral:misc_RNA from 1 species
GAAAUGCGAUAAGUAAUGUGAAUUGCAGAAUUCAGUGAAUCAUCGAAUCUUUGAACGCACCUUGCGCUCCUUGGUAUUCCUUGGAGCAUGCCUGUUUGAGUAUCAUGAAAUCUUCAAAGUAAAUCUUUUGUUAACUCAAUUGGUUUCUACUUUGGUAUUGGAGGUCUUUGCAGCUUCACACCUGCUCCUCUUUGUUCAUUAGCUGGAUCUCAGUGUUAUGCUUGGUUCCACUCGGCGUGAUAAGUUAUCUAUCGCUGAGGACACUGUAAAAGGUGGCCAAGGUAAAUGCAGAUGAACCGCUUCUAAUAGUCCAUUGACUUGGACAAUAUUUUUAUGAUCUGAUCUCCAAUCAGGUAGGACUACCCGCUGAACUUAAGC